UCCAGUGUGAGAAGUUAACGAGUUGGCAUUUCCAUGAGACAUCGAGAUGGUGGGGCGAAAUCCUUUGAAUCAACAUGCUAUGAAGGUAACCAUGAUUGACAGAGGAAGAACAAUGAUUCCAAGCACCACCCUCCUUUUGAAGCUUCCAGUCUGUUAUUCGAACUCAAUCAGCAUGACAGAGUGAUCUCCAGCCUUGUCCUCGUCAACACUCGCACCUGUGUUAACGAGAGAAUCACUGACAUGUCAGCUGGUCCUUUUGUGGCAGGGCUGAAAUGCAGUGGAAAUGUCUUAUUGGGAUUUAGUUCAUUUGCAUGUUAAAGAGGGAUUUUGCAAUUAAUUGCAAUUCAUCUGAUCACUCUUCAUAACAUUCUGGAGUGUAUGCAAAAUACCAUUAUAUAAACUGAGGCAGCAUACUUUGUGAAAAUUAAUAUUUGUGUCAUCUCAAAACUUUUGGCCACGACUGUACGAGUUACCACACACGUUCACAGGGAUGGCUAUAUCUGGAAAUUCCUUUGGUCUCAGAGCUUUUAGUUUUCUUGCACCUUAUUUGUGGAACAAUCCUCAAAAUGUUCUUACAUUUCAUAUUUUGGUGCCUCUAGGACAAUUCAGAAAGCUGAUUAAGGACCUUUUUACUGACGAAUGUGUUUUUUAAUGACCCUGUUUUUCUUUGCAUUUUGCAAAUGCUUCGAUUUUGUAUUUAUAUUUCGAUGUGUGCAUUUUCUGAUAUUUAUGUAAUUCAGGGCUCAUCUGUAAAAGAGACCUUGGUCUCAGUAAGACUGUUAAAAUAAAAUAAAGUAUAUUUUUUAUUGUUACAGAAGUGUACAGAACACAAGUACAGUAUACAUCACAAAAGCAGUAGUAUUUACAGGUGAAACAGUCCCUACAGGAGCUUUACAAAUAUUCAGUUACAUGCAUAGUCCAACAUUAAAUUUAAAACAUGAAAAUACAAUCUUACAAGCACGAGCAAAGCUCCACUUGCACUAUGUACAGUACAAAUGCAACGGAGUUAAAAUAGUUUCUCAUAUCCAUAAAUAUUUCUAUUACACUUUAUAGUACAUAAAAUGUGCAUGCUUGGCAGUUUUAACAGACAAAAUAAAUGUUCUUAUUCUCUUUCUAUAAAAACUAGUCAGUUCAAAGCAUAUUCAUUUCAUGUAAAUAUAAUUCUCAUUUAAGCAAAAUAGCUAUAGCAUAGAAAGGUAACAUUUGUAAAUAUUUUAAGUAAUAGCUAGCCCAAUGCGGUAUCUAGGUCCUCGAGACAGUAGAUCUGCAGCAUAUCAGAGUAGUUGAGCAUGUAUCUACACUGCCUUGCGGAAAUUAUUCAGACACCUUGACUUUUUCCACAUCUGUGUUACGUUACAGCAUUAUACUAAAUGUAUGAAAAAAAAUCCUCAGCAAUCUACAGACAAUACCCCAUAAUGACAAAGUGAAAACAGGUUUUUAGAAAUGUUUGCAAAUGUAUUAAAAAUAAAAUGUAUUAAAAACCUUAUAGGUAUUCAGACCCUUUGCUAUUAGGCUCAAAAUUGAGCUCAGGUGCAUCCUGUUUUCAUUGAUCAUGAGCUACAAAAUCUGGACCCCUACAAAUCAGCUGGGCUAGACAAUCUGGACCCUCUCUUUCUAAAAUUAUCUGCCGAAAUUGUUGCAACCCCUAUUACUAGCCUGUUCAACCUCUCUUUCGUAUCGUCUGAGAUUCCCAAAGAUUGGAAAGCUGCCGCGGUCAUCCACCUCUUCAAAGGGGGAGACACUCUAGACCCAAACUGCUACAGACAUAUACACACACACACACACACACACACACACACACACACACACACACACACACACACACAUACAUACAUAUAUAU